rnacentral:piRNA from 1 species
UACACAUUUUGGACAGAAAUACUUUGGA